UGGGGAAUUUUGGACAAUGGGCGCAAGCCUGAUCCAGCCAUGCCGCGUGCGGGAAGAAGGCCUUCGGGUUGUAAACCGCUUUUGUCAGGGAAGAAAUCUUCUGAGUUAAUACCUCGGGAGGAUGACGGUACCUGAAGAAUAAGCACCGGCUAACUACGUGCCAGCAGCCGCGGUAAUACGUAGGGUGCAAGCGUUAAUCGGAAUUACUGGGCGUAAAGCGUGCGCAGGCGGUUUUGUAAGACAGAGGUGAAAUCCCCGGGCUCAACCUGGGAACUGCCUUUGUGACUGCAAGGCUUGAGUGCGGCAGAGGGGGAUGGAAUUCCGCGUGUAGCAGUGAAAUGCGUAGAUAUGCGGAGGAACACCGAUGGCGAAGGCAAUCCCCUGGGCCUGCACUGACGCUCAUGCACGAAAGCGUGGGGAGCAAACAGGAUUAGAUACCCUGGUAGUCCACGCCCUAAACGAUGUCGACUGGUUGUUGGGAAGGUUCCUUCUCAGUAACGUAGCUAACGC
rnacentral:rRNA from 1 species